rnacentral:rRNA from 1 species
GAUGAACGCUGGCGGCGUGCCUAAUACAUGCGAGUCGAGCGAACAGACGAGGAGCUUGCUCCUCUGACGUUAGCGGCGGACGGGUGAGUAACACGUGGAUAACCUACCUAUAAGACUGGGAUAACUUCGGGAAACCGGAGCUAAUACCGGAUAAUAUAUUGAACCGCAUGGUUCAAUAGUGAAAGACGGUUUUGCUGUCACUUAUAGAUGGAUCCGCGCCGCAUUAGCUAGUUGGUAAGGUAACGGCUUACCAAGGCAACGAUGCGUAGCCGACCUGAGAGGGUGAUCGGCCACACUGGAACUGAGACACGGUCCAGACUCCUACGGGAGGCAGCAGUAGGGAAUCUUCCGCAAUGGGCGAAAGCCUGACGGAGCAACGCCGCGUGAGUGAUGAAGGUCUUCGGAUCGUAAAACUCUGUUAUUAGGGAAGAAUAAAUGUGUAAGUAACUAUGCACGUCUUGACGGUACCUAAUCAGAAAGCCACGGCUAACUACGUG